rnacentral:piRNA from 1 species
UGUCCUUCGAGCCCAUUCUCUUUACUU